UAUAGCUCAGUGGCACAGUGACUGCCUGGCAAGCACCAGGUCCUGAGUUCAAUUCCCAGUA
rfam:Cavia porcellus supercont2_732 genomic scaffold, whole genome shotgun sequence.